UUCUGUUGAUCACAUACUUCAGCCCUGACUCCAUGUAAGAAGGGACUGCUUCACAGUGUGGGAACCAAGGGCUGAGGUUCAUCAGGGGCUGUCUUGGAGGUGGAUGACCAGGGAAAAGAAAGGAGGGAAUUCCUGGAACAACGUCCUCCCAAGCAAUGGGAUCUAGUGCAAAGGAGAGAAUAGGAACAUCCUGACCAGCGAUAGCAUACAGGCGCAGCUGCAAGAGGUUGGGAAGAUGUGCUAUUUUUGUUGUUGUUGUUGUUCUACUUCUGAUUUUUUCCUACUUCUCAGUGAAGUAGAAAACAAGGUCAUAUGUCAAGAAUGAGGACUGGGAAGGAGGUUUUGGAAAUUCAUCAGUAUUUCAAGUUUUCCAGUAUCUCUCAAGCAAUGCACUGGUCGUUGUCACUAAACAUUGCCUGGUCAUAUUGCUAAGGAGGAAAGAAAAACACCUUUUUGGAUCAUUGUUGUAUUAUAGGAGGCACGGUCUGGGUUUGGGGAAAGUAAAAGAAAAACCGAGGAGUCAUUGUUUUUUGUUUUUCAUUUUAAAUACAGUGAUUUUCUUCCUCUUUGACCUCAAGAAUUUUCUAUGUUUAUAGCAUGGAAACUUUUAAGUUUUAAACAUCCUUUGGUUUGCAAUUAGAUUAUUUUGUUACUCCUACUUACCGGAUGGAAUAAAACACAGAUAAUUAAAAGUAGAUAUUGCAAAUAUAAGACACAUUCUUUUCCUUACCUGAUCAGCCUAAGACCACCAGAGAUAAACCUGUGGACUACCAAAGUCAGGUUCACUGACUCUUGCCAUCUGGGGACAUUUCACGAGAGAAAAAGAGAGAGUAAUGAUGGGAUUUUGCAAGAAUGACAUUUAGGUGUAAUGUAAAUGAAGCAGUAUUUUUUUUUUUUCCUUUGACCGUGCUGUGUGACAUAUGGGAUCUUAGUUCCCCAAACAGGGAUCAAAUCUGAGACCCAUUCAAUGGAAGCAUAGAGUCUUAACCACUGGGCUUCCAGGGAAGUCCUGAAGCACUGUUUUGAUGGUCUCCAAGCAAAGUCGGACUGUGUGUAAAGGGGUCACCCUCAGUUACGGCCUGUGAAAUAGACCUGUGGUUCUGUUCCUUGGAAACAAAGUUAAGAGAGAUGUCAAAUGCUAUGUCCAAGAUUGCCUUGCACAACUCUGCAUAUGGACCACAAGUCAAGGCUACUAUCCUGUGAUGCAAUGACUAAACUCCUUCAGAUCAGACUUGGAUAUUUCAUCUUACUGAAAUAAUUUCAAAAAGAAGUGUUCCUGAUAGUCCAUGAUUUCAGAAAUUUCUCCAGGCUAACAGCUACCAGCAUCCAGUUGUCUGGGGAAGACCUGCAGUGUCUGUGGCGGAUGGGAUGGGCACCACACCCAUGCUCCCAUUGCUGCAGCUGCCCAGGCAUGGGACACUGUUGGUUCAAGAAGCUCAGAGGAAGCCCCUCCUCUCAGGACGUCCUCUGGGCCUUGAAGCAGUUCUGCUCCACCUCAUUCACCUGGCUGAGUCGCUUCUGCCUUCUGGGCCUCAUCACCUGCCCACGAUCCUCAAUGCUUUGAACAAGUAAGCAAAUGAAACAAAAUCAAAGAAACAAAUCAACCGAUAAUAGCAAUAAUGAUAAAGAAAGGAUGUCUAUAUUCCCAGAGAUCCAGCUCAUUCUACCUUGCAUGGUGACUGAUCAAACUUCAACAUCUAACUUCAGCCUACAGAUCACCUCAUCUUUGUCAGAAGCAAAGGACUUGCCUUGAGUGUGAGUAGUCAAAGGGCUGGUCUGCUGAUCUUUCUAGAAACAUGGUAAUGGCAUGGUCCAGAUUAAAUGUCGAGAAGGAAAAAGAACACUCAUAAAGGGAGAAAAGUCUGGGAACCAAGCAUUCUUUGGUGGGACUGACUCCAGCUGCACUGAUGCUCCCCAUCUCCUGCAUGAAAGCAGACCUCUGGCAGCUCUCAAAAAGCACUAUUUGUGCCACAGGGACUUGUUACUUAUGUGUUUAUAAACCCGGUCAGUUCUGAUCACCGCACGCCAGUCUCUCUCCGGGGUGUUUUCUCUGAGGAGCUGCUUACAAGGGCCUCACUGCCCAGCCUCCUCUGCCCCUGCCGCCGCCUUCUAUGGUGUCCACAGCAGGAGCGCCAGCCCUCUGUGUCCCACACUGCCAAUGUCUGGAAGUGGGAGCGGGGAGGGGAGCAGCUCCCUGACCCUGCACUCUGUCUCUUACCUGGAAACCAACCUGUACUGCCAGAGCCUUAAUGUCUCAGAA